GAUCGUGACCUGAGCCGAAAUCAGGAGUCAGGCAGAUGCUAAACUGACUGAGCCAUCCAGGCGCCCGGAGACUGGGAAAAUGUUUAAAGGCCUCUUUCUCUCUCCCUUGAGAGGGCACAUGGGAGUGCAGGGCGGCAAGAGGACCAUACUCAUGGCAAAGCCUGGACUUUGUUUUAACUUGUUUUAUAAAUUCCAAAGACUGACAUUUUAAGGAACCAAGUCCUGGAAACGCACCUCAGGACGCACCAGUGGAAAUGAGCACCGCUGGAAAGAAUCCCUUCCCCGUUGUUUUCAUUCCUCAUUUCCUAGAUGUUUUUCUUUCAAGACUGAGCCACGUUGGAUGUGAAGAUUAGUUUGGGCCCAGGGAAAGAAUCUGUCCAGAUUAAAUUUUCCUGAUCUCUUGGGGAGGCUGACUAGAAGUGUAGGCUCUGGGGCCGGAUGGCCGGGGUUCAAGGCCUGGAUUGGCCAUUUAUUCACUAGGCAAGGGUCCUAACCUGUAAACCUCAGUUCAUCUGUAAAAUGGGCAUAAUAAUAAUAAUAAUAGCAUCUACAUCUUAGAUUGAAUCAGUGUUUAUAAAAUGCUUGGAAUGGUAUCUAAAACAUGGUAAGAUCUAGAGAAACAUUGGCUAGAACCAACCCCUGCCUAUGUCAGGAAGACCUCAAGAGAAUAGCCUCGAUCAGAACAAGGGCCCAAAUCCUGCCUGGAAGUAGGCCAACGGGAGUCACAGCAAAGACUGUGGGGAGGGGCGUCACCCAUGUGGGAGGGGUCACCAGUGCCCACUCUCCUCUCCACAUGCUUCCCAGCCUCAAGAGCAGGGUUUCCUUUCCUUUUCCUCUCGAUUCUCAGAGGUACCCCCCUAGGGUGGGUUGGGUCUACACCGCACCCUCUGUGCCUUCAUCCUGCAGGGACCCUUGAGGAUCUUUGCCACCUGGAGAGGCCGGGACUUCCCUGGGUGCUGGCUCAGAGGGGGGCUCAGGAGAGAUGCCCUCCUUCAACCUUGGCUCCGUGUCUGUUGAAGGCUCAGGAUUUCCUGGGCCUGCAAACCAGUCUCACCAUAAGGUUCUAUUUGUCCCGCAGGGGACCACCUUCCGGGGCCAAUCGGGGCUCGUGCGGCUCUGCCUUAGGUCUUCAAGGGGACCAGCUGCCCAGGAAACUUAACGCCUUUAUUCACCCUGUUCCCACCUGUGUCCACCGUGACCAGGUUUGCAGCCCUAGCCACUGAGGGGUGUGUAUGAGUCAGUGAGUGUGCGACGGUCAGAUUCCCACCACCCAGGCGGUGCCAGAACAGAGUCGUGCCAAGACCCUGAGCAAGGAAAGGCACAGAAACACAGCUCCGGAGCCCCUGGAACCCCAGCAUUAGCGAGCCAGAAGCCGCCGCGUUCGGGAAGCCUGCACGUCCCAGGCUGCUGGGGCUCCCACGGAGAAUCGCCAGAAGGAACAGGUCCCUGAGUGGGGGCAGGGUGAGAACACCCCUCACUGAGCUUUGCCAGGGUGACACGGGACCUGAGUCCCCGGGGGAGCAAGAGCAAGCCGGCGAGGGCGGGGAGGCCUCCAAGGCAGGAGCAGAGGUGAGGGACGGCGGGUGUGGGGUGUGGUCGUGACGCCACGGCAAGGGGGAGCUGCCAGCCUCGGGUGUGGGGCGGGCGGGGCGGUGACGAAGGCCACCAAGUGCUCGCUCAGUUCUUAGACUUCAUCGCAAGCAGUAACGAGAGAGAACUGUACAACACUCUUGAUGUUCUCAGCUCAAAGCCAUUUAUCUUCUUCCUUGAAAGUUCAAGGCCAGUUUUGCUGCCAGGAAUCUUGCAAAAGCAGCUUUCACCAGUGUGGGCUCUGAAAAAUGGAAGGCACAUGGGGUGUUCCGUUGCUCAAGCCGAACGCAACGCACAGAGUGAUCCGGGCAGGGGGUGGCCGGCGGGGAAGGAGCUCUGUUUGAAGUCGAGUUUGUUUGUUGGUGCUGUGCGCACCGCGUUGCUCGUCUCUGGGCCCAGGAGAAUGAGGCUACAGCCAGCUGGCCUUUGUCACCGAGGCCCCCAGACCGAGCGGCUUCACAGGCAAAGCUUUAGACCAGCCUCCAGGCCCCUUGGCCCACUGCUCAAGCUGGCGCAAGCGGAUCCCACCCUGGAGACCGCGGGCCCGUUCCGCGUCCAGCUGAAGGUGUGAAUGACUAAAAGCAAGCCAACCCAAUGACUGGAGGAUGAUCUAAAGGGAGGGAGGGAGUUGUGUGUGCCCUUCAAGAGCAGAUUCCUCCCCCCGCCCUCGCUCCCCAGUUCUGGACUGUGGAGCCAUUGCCGAGAAGCAGGUGCCUGGCCCAGCCUCACCUGCACCCCUGGCUUCCCCGGCGUGUCACCGGGCGGCCAGGACUGGACCCGCCCCCAGGCUCUGCCGCCGGCUGGGUGAUCGCAGGCCCGAACUGACUGCGAGGAGGGGGCUGCUCGUGGGGCCGGAGGAGGCCGUGCCCAGCCGGAGAAGGCCAGACAGACCCUCAGCAGAGGAGAGGGUAGAGGUGCCAGGACCCUCCAGCUUCUUUUUCUGGGGCGAGUUGUUCUGUUUGUUAAUUUUUUCUUUAUGUGACUGGUAUUCCCUGACGUCUGGCAGCCCUUGGUUGGUCAGUGGAGGCCAAGUUUUGGAGAUUUUCGUUGACGUACCUCAAGCUCACAGAGUCUCUCCUCAGCCGCGUCCUGUCCACUGAAUGAGCCCCACAAAGGCAUAUUCUUCAUUCCUGUGACAGUCUCUGGGUCAAGAGGAACCAUAAUACACUUGAUGCAGAGAAGUUACCCCUAGAUGGACUUUGAGUUUGAUGCUAUGAUUGACAACCCCCCCCACCCCUAUCGGGGAGAGGGAGAGGGGCCGAGGGAGGGGCUAAGCAGCCCUGGAUCCCGACCGCCAGCCUGAGCCUCAACGAACAGCACAGAGCCCAUGUAGGGUGGCUCUGAUUCCUCCGACAUCCCAUUUUCGUUCUUUGAUGGUAUUUGUCUGUAUCCAGCUUACACAUAAAUGCUUCCAGGCGAGUGCUCCAAAUGUCUCUUUCGGAAAUCUGAAUCCCCAUGAAAACAAUGGCAACAAGAAAAAGGUGCAAGCUUUCCAGAACAAGCCCAGAUUUUGAAAAUGUGAUAAAGAGGUUAUUGUGUGUCCGAACUUUUCACACAAGAAUUGGAGGAGACUUAACACCAGGAAUAAUAAACAGAGGAAGACCAGUUAAUGCAGAGCAGAUGGGCCCGCAAAUGCUAAGCAUCUCAACAUCUUUCCCCUUGGACUUUUGGACUCAAGAUGACUGAAUGCUGGUUUCUUUAGUUGGAAAUAAAGCUAACGCAACUGGGGAAACCUGUAAAUAUGGCGGGCUUGAUUUCUGGGGUGGUUUUAAGAACCUACGAUGUGGCAGGCGUUUGAAAUUCACUACUUAAAUCCGGACCACAGCUCCAUUUUACAGACAAGGAAACUGAGGCUUCACUUACCGAAAGGCAUACAGCCAACAAGAGAGUGAAGCCAGGAUCGAUCCUAGGUCUGUCUCUGCAUACGCCAUUUUCCUGCAAACUAGGGUAACAGGUGAGCAGAGAAAAAGGAUCGUAGUCACAUCAAUUUGAAAAACACUGACAUGGGGUGCCUGGUGGCACAGUCGGUUAAGUGUCCGACUUCAGCCAGGUCACGAUCUCGCGGUCCGUGAGUUCGAGCCCCGCGUCGGGGGCUCAGAGCCCCGCGUCGGGGCUGUAUAUAUAUAUAUCAGUGAGAUAGAGAGAGAGAGAUUAGACAGAGAUCCAGGACAGAAUCCUAGGGGGCUGGCAACACGAGGGAGGAAUGAUAUAUUUUACAUAUACCUAUACCUAUACCUAUACCUAUACCUAUACCUAUACCUAUACCUAUACCUAUACAGAGAGAGACAGAUUAUACAUAUAUGUAUAUAUGCUAUAUAUGUAUAAUAUGUAUAUUUAUGUAGUAACAGUCUAAUUGAGGCAUAAUUGCCAUAUAAUAAAUUAUACAUAUUUAAACCACACAACCUGAUGUGUUUUGACAUGUGUGUGACCUGUGAAAUCAUCACCACAAUCAAGAUAAUGAACACAUCCAUUACUCUCAAAAGUUUCCUUAUGCUCCUUUGUAAUUCCUUCCUCCCGUCCCUCCCUCCCUUAAUCUCAGACAACUGCUUAUCUUCUUUCCAUCACUAUAGAUUAGCUGCAUUUUCUAGAGUUUUCUAUAAAUGGAAUCACACAAUGUAUAUUCUUCCUUUUGCCUGUCUUCUUUCGCUCCGCAUGACUAUUUUGAGAUUCACUCACAUUGUUACGUGUUUGUUCCAUUGUAUGACUAUGCCACAGUUUGUCUGUUCAUCUGUGGUUGGACGUUUACGUUGUUUCCAGUUUGGGGCUCUUACAAAUAAAGCUGCUGUGCACAUUCGUGGUUCA